rnacentral:rRNA from 1 species
AUUGAACGCUGGCGGCAGGCCUAACACAUGCAAGUCGAGCGCGCGGCGGACGGGUGAGUAAUGUCUGGGAAACUGCCUGAUGGAGGGGGCUAACUCCUGGAAACGGUAGCUCAUACCGCAUACCCUCAGAUGUGCCCCGAUGGGAUUAGCUAGUAGGUGGGGUAACGGCUCACCUAGGCGACGAUCCCCAGCUGGUCUGAGAGGAUGACCAGCCACACUGGAACUGGGACACGGCCCAGACUCCUACGGUAGGCAGCAGUGGGGAAUAUUGCACAAUGGGCGCAAGCCUGAUGCAGCCAUGCCGCGUGUGUGAAGAAGGCCUUCGGGUUGUAAAGCACUUUCAGCGGGGAGGCGUUACCCGCAGAAGAAGCACCGGCUAACUCCGUGCCAGCAGCCGCGGUAAUAC